UACAGAGGUGCCAAGCGUUAGGCGGAAUCACUGGGCUUAAAGCGCGCGUAGGCGGACGUUUAAGUGUCUUGUGAAAUCCCACGGCUCAACCGUGGAACUGCUGGGCAUACUGGACGUCUCGAGGCACUCAGGGGCGGGCGGAACAAGUGGUGGAGCGGUGAAAUGCGUAGAUAUCACUUGGAACGCCAAUGGUGAAGACAGCUCGCUGGGGGUGUCCUGACGCUGAGGCGCGAAAGCCAGGGGAGCGAACGGG
rnacentral:rRNA from 1 species